AAGUAUGAUCGGUUUAUAAAAUACGUCCGCGAUUUGUGUUCCAUAACGGUACGUUUGUCUUUUAAGAUGACGUUCUUUCCUGGCUUUUCUUUGGAGUCAUGUUCCCAGGUUUAAUCGUUUUAUACGUAGUCAGUUUGAACGGACACGUUAUUGGUAUGCGAUGGAAAAGGAUGAGUAUUCGAGAAAUUAUGUGUUUUACCAUAAGAUGUCCGAUGAUUUUAUUUAUUAAAUAGCUCCGUGUUUAUUGGAUAAUAAUCCUGAAUCUUUGUGGAUGAUAUAUUUUUACGGGACUACCUGAUUGUAUCUCAUUCUUCGAGUAACCCUACAACUGCACAAUAAUGUGACGUCAGCCGCACUUCCGGGACGCGCAUCGACUUGGGACCAAUCCGAAUCAGGAAAUACUUCAUCGAUCUAGAACAUUCGGAUUUUUGCUGAAUAUCUACUUAGCGUACGCUAAUAUCUGAGCCGGGUGCCCUCGCGAUGCUAAGGAGUGUCGUAUAAAUAGCCAUGAAAGGUUGCCGGCUGUCGUGUGAUUUCAUAGCGAUAGAAUUCGCAGGUGU